AGUGAACGCUGGCGGUAGGCCUAACACAUGCAAGUCGAACGGCAGCACAGUAAGAGCUUGCUCUUACGGGUGGCGAGUGGCGGACGGGUGAGGAAUACAUCGGAAUCUACUUUUUCGUGGGGGAUAACGUAGGGAAACUUACGCUAAUACCGCAUACGACCUACGGGUGAAAGCAGGGGAUCUUCGGACCUUGCGCGAUUGAAUGAGCCGAUGUCGGAUUAGCUAGUUGGCGGGGUAAAGGCCCACCAAGGCGACGAUCCGUAGCUGGUCUGAGAGGAUGAUCGGCCACACUGGAACUGAGACACGGUCCAGACUCCUACGGGAGGCAGCAGUGGGGAAUAUUGGACAAUGGGCGCAAGCCUGAUCCAGCCAUACCGCGUGAGUGAAGAAGGCCUUCGGAUUGUAAAGCCCUUUUGUUGGGAAAGAAAAGCAGCAGGUUAAUACCCCGCUGUUCUGACGGUACCCAAAGAAUAAGCACCGGCUAACUUCGUG
rnacentral:rRNA from 1 species